GAUGAACGCUGGCGGCGUGCCUAAUACAUGCAAGUCGAGCGAACGGACGAGAAGCUUGCUUCUCUGAUGUUAGCGGCGGACGGGUGAGUAACACGUGGAUAACCUACCUCUAAUACUGGGAUAACUUCGGGAAACCGGAGCUACUACCGGAUCAUAUUUUGAACCGCAUGGUUCAAAAGUGAAAGACGGUCUUGCUGUCACUUAUAGAUGGAUCCGCGCUGCAUUAGCUAGUUGGUAAGGUAACGGCUUACCAAGGCAACGAUGCAUAGCCGACCUGAGAGGGUGAUCGGCCACACUGGAACUGAGACACGGUCCAGACUCCUACGGGAGGCAGCAGUAGGGAAUCUUGCGCAAUGGGCGAAAGCCUGACGGAGCAACGCCGCGUGAGUGAUGAAGGUCUUCGGAUCGUAAAACUCUGUUAUUAGGGAAGAACAGAUGUGUAAGUAACUGUGCACAUCUUGACGGUACCUAAUCAGAAAGCCACGGCUAACUACGUG
rnacentral:rRNA from 1 species